GACGAACGCUGGCGGCGUGCUUAACACAUGCAAGUGGAGCUACGAACCAGGGCUUGCCCUGGGGCAGAGCCGCGAACGGGUGAGUAACACGUGGGUAACGUGCCCCGAUGACUGGGACAACCCGGUGAAACCCGGGCUAAUACCGGAUGUGCUCCCUCACAUCAGUGAGGUGUGUAAAGGAAGCUUCGGCCUCCGCAUCGGGAUCGGCCCGCGGCCCAUUAGCUUGUUGGUGAGGUAACGGCUCACCAAGGCUGCGAUGGGUAGCUGGUCUGAGAGGACGAUCAGCCACACUGGGACUAAGACACGGCCCAGACUCCUACGGGAGGCAGCAGUGGGGAAUCUUGCGCAAUGCGCGAAAGCGUGACGCAGCAACGCCGCGUGGGGGAAGACGGCCUUCGGGUUGUAAACCCCUUUCAGUUGGGAAGAAGGUCGGGCGGUUAACAGCCGUGCCGGCUGACGGUACCUUCACAAGAAGCCCCGGCUAACUACGUG
rnacentral:rRNA from 1 species